UGUCCUCCUAGCCGAUUAUCGGUUACGGCGGCUGUUCUCAUGUAAGGAGAUUAGCCAACUGCGCAGGACAUAUUAUAGUGCACGCACAUUUGCUUGGACACAGGUGCACUCACUAUUCCUUCACUCUCAUAGCGCGAUGGGACGACAAUCCGACA
rnacentral:lncRNA from 1 species